rnacentral:rRNA from 1 species
UACGAAGGGGGCUAGCGUUGUUCGGAAUUACUGGGCGUAAAGCGCGUGUAGGCGGGGCUUUAAGUCAGGGGUGAAAUGCCAAGGCUCAACCUUGGAACUGCCUUUGAUACUGGAGACCUUGAGUCCGGGAGAGGUGAGUGGAAUUGCGAGUGUAGAGGUGAAAUUCGUAGAUAUUCGCAAGAACACCAGUGGUGAAGGCGGCUCACUGGCCCGGAACUGACGCUGAGAUGCGAAAGCGUGGGGAGCAAACAGG